UACAGAGGGUGCAAGCGUUAAUCGGAAUUACUGGGCGUAAAGGGUGCGUAGGUGGUUGAUUAAGUCAGAUGUGAAAGCCCUGGGCUCAACCUGGGAAUUGCAUUUGAAACUGGUCAGCUAGAGUAUGGUAGAGGAAAGUGGAAUUUACGGUGUAGCGGUGAAAUGCGUAGAUAUCGUAAGGAACACCAGUGGCGAAGGCGACUUUCUGGACCAAAACUGACACUGAGGCACGACAGCGUGGGGAGCAAACAGG
rnacentral:rRNA from 1 species